GUGCUUAGCCAUCUUACAAAUCUGUGUCUAAGAUUCAUAAGGCUGUCACUGCAUGAAUCUCUGAAUAAAUCUUGUGCAACCUUCAGGGUCCUGAUUAUUUACAGCAUAGGUAUUAUAGCCAUUAAUUAACUUUGAUAGUAUUUCAGAAUUUUAACUUUUCUUAGGGGGAGAUUAACAACAAUGUGAUGUUUUAUUACAGAAACAUCCAAAAGCAACUGUGAUGUCUGACUGGCAUACAGAUGACGCCGAUGAUUGCCCGUCAUACAGCUAAAGAAACAAACAGGCACAACUAUAGUGACAGUGAUGAAGAAAAAUUAUUUAAAACAAGGAGGCUCGA